GGACACUUUAAAUAGGAAACGGAAGCGUUCCUCGUAUAUGAAAUGACGUCAGUGAGCGUGGUCGCGGAGAUUCACCGGUGUUUACAGCUCAGAGUUUCAGAAUGAGCGGAGGAGGCAUACAGAGACACAGCAGGGCCGAGGAGGAGGAGGAGCACGAGGAGGACUUCUAUGACUGUCCGGACACGCUGGAGCCUCCUGACCCCACUGCAGGAGGAGAGGAGAGCCAGCAGGACGUUCAUUUUAAACACACACAGACUGAACGAGGAGACACAGAGAGGGAGGCAGCAGAAGGACACCGGGGAGAGGAGCGGGGAGACAGACUGAAGGAAGAGGAGGACGAGAAGGAGGUGAAAGCUCCACUGGAGACAGAGGAUGUGGAGCAGGGGGAGGAGGGGGUAGACGGGGUGAAGGAAGAGGAGGAGGUGAAGGAGCAACAAGAUGGAGACUCCCUGCAUGACUCUGACACGGAGCUGAAGGAGGAGGUGAGCCCAGCCGUAGAGUUUGAUGAUGAUUACCUGAGGGAGGUGGAAAAGGAGCUGACCGAGGAGGAGAAGGAGAGUCGACGGCAGCAGAGCAUCAGUCUGAAGGAGGCGGGAAACGCCCACUUUAAGAGGGGAGACUGGGCGGAGGCGGGGCGAAACUACACGGAUGCGCUGUCUGUGUGCCCCGUCUGUUUCAGCAGAGAGCGAGCUGUGCUGUUCUCCAACAGAGCCGCCGCAAGGCUGCACCUGGAUCUGAAGGAGCAGGCGAUCUCAGACUGCAGCAGAGCAAUAGCGCUGGAUCCUGACUACCUGCGGGCGCUGCUGAGGAGGGCGGAGCUUUACGAGCAGACAGAGAAGCUGGACGAGGCUCUGGAGGACUACCAGAAGGUUCUGGAACGAGACCCAAAUAAUGUUGCUGCCAGGCAGGCGGCCAUGAGGCUGCCUCUACAGAUCCAGGAGAGGAACGAGAAGCUGAAGGAGGAGAUGCUUAGUAAGCUGAAGGACCUAGGUAACAUGGUCCUGCGGCCGUUCGGACUCUCCACCAACAACUUCCAGGUGAACCAGGACGCCGCCAGCGGCGCCUACUCCAUCAACUUCAUCCAGAACCCCAACAACAACAACAGGUGAUGAUGUCACAGUGAUGUCGUUGCUCACAGCUGUGACAUCACACCACAGAGCAGCGGUUCACCUGUCUGCUGAUCAGUUUAGUUACUGAUCAUGAAGAAGCCAGUACGGACUGGUUAUUGAUUGGUGAUUGACUCUUAAUGAAGAGGAAUAAAAAACCUCUGAAAGUUACCUCUGACGGUGUUGAGCUGGAUUAGGCCCCGCCUCCUCUCUGCUGAAGCAGUUCCAGCCGUGAGUCUUUAUUAAUAAAGUAAGCCGACAGGCUGUUGUCUGUUGUGGAAGUUUUCCGUUUAAAUAAAGCCUGCAGAC